rnacentral:rRNA from 1 species
CCUACGGGGGGCAGCAGUGAGGAAUAUUGGUCAAUGGACGAGAGUCUGAACCAGCCAAGUAGCGUGAAGGAUGACUGCCCUAUGGGUUGUAAACUUCUUUUAUAUGGGAAUAAAGUGUUCCACGUGUGGGCUUUUGUAUGUACCAUAUGAAUAAGGAUCGGCUAACUCCGUGCCAGCAGCCGCGGUAAUACGGAGGAUCCGAGCGUUAUCCGGAUUUAUUGGGUUUAAAGGGAGCGUAGGUGGAUUGUUAAGUCAGUGGUGAAAGUUUGCGGCUCAACCGUAAAAUUGCAGUUGAAACUGGCAGUCUUGAGUACAGUAGAGGUGGGCGGAAUUCGUGGUGUAGCGGUGAAAUGCUUAGAUAUCACGAAGAACUCCGAUUGCGAAGGCAGCUCACUGGACUGCAACUGACACUGAGGCUCGAAAGUGUGGGUAUCAAACAGGAUUAGAUACCCUGGUAGUC